ensembl:lncRNA
AAACUCUGUAUAUUUGUGCAGUGUGCAUGAGUCAAAAGAUCAAAUCUGAUAUUAAAACUUGUGACAUAUAAAUGCGCACAUCAACCUGAUCACUUUAUUUAGCAUUCAUGUAAACACUGUGUUCGGAUUAAUCAGUCGGAAUGAUUUAAUUCUGAUUGAAACAAAAGAUGUCCAUGUAAAUGUAUCUAAUGUCAGGUUUCCUUUUUAUGUAUAAUUUCUGGUUACUUUGAAUUACUAUGGAUAAUAUCACUAUGUAAACUAUGUUUUGUUUAAUAUUUGUUAGCAGCAGUUUUAAAUUUCAACAGACUUGUUUGUUUCUGUUAAGAUUCAAGCAUCCCACAACUUGUGUCUGAACAAAUUAAAUGUCUAAAAAUGUACUUUGGACAUCACAGCUUUAAACCGUAAGUUUUGAAGUAGGAUUUGUGUGUCAUUUACUAUACUAUUGCUUAUGCUUGUAAAUAAGUUUAUGUGUAGUUGUUAUUGCCAUUAGCACACUGUUUGUUUUAUAUAUGAUCUUACGGUUUUUCAGAGUUAGUGGAAAGUGAUUCACUCUAUUCUCAUGGAGAUGAGAGAUAAUCUUGUUAUUUUCACAACUGGUAUAACUUUUCCUUGAUCAUUGAAAUUAUGACAUAUUUACUAAAUUAUCUUGUAGUCGUUAUAGUCGUUUUCUGCCCAGCUCUAAUCUGCUAAAUGUGAUUAUAAGGCAUGAACACAUUAAGAAAAGUGCUAUACGAAUAAAUUUGACUUAACUUUGUGUUCAAAUGUCAGCUCUCAUGAAUUGCUGUGUUGGCAGGUUAUGGGAAGAGUUUGUGUUUCCAGUUUCAAUUUCAGUGUGGUAAUUUCUCCUCUCAUCGCCCUCAUGGAGGACCAGGUGCUUCAGCUACAGUUCCUAUUUUGGCACUCAUGGCUACUGCGAGUCCAUCUAUUCGUGAGGAUAUCAUUAAGAGCCUUCAUCUGAUCAAUCCUCUGAUCCCCUCCACCUCCUUCGACCAACCAAACCUCUACCUUGGAUGUCAAUCACAAGUCUGGUGACAUUAUCCAAGACCUCAAACAAUCUCAUCAAAAAAAGGGUAAGCCAUGCUGAUUCUUGUAGUAACUUGUGAGGAAUUAUUUUGCAUGAGGAGUGUUCAAAGAUUGCUUAAUGCAGUGGCUUUUAAACCAGAUGGCCAGGACCCAGUAGUAACAUAUGUAAGUUGACAUCAAUUUUUAUUUCAUUUAUUUUUUUUAUUUAUUCCCUCAAAUUUUAAGUUCCAGGAUUCUCACAAUCUUGUAAAAUCUGUAUAUACAGUAUGAGGGAAUUUUGUGUCAUUUCUAAAUUUUUACUAAUGAUUAUAAUAUUUUCUAAAAUAUUUUUGAGUAGAAAUUUAUAUUNUAAUUUUUUUUUCUCUUAAAAUUUUUUUUUUUUUUUUUUUUUUUUUAUGUACACAAGUUUUGUUUUGCAGGGGUGGUUUCGAGUUUGAAGGCUCAGCCAUUGUGUACUGUCCAUCAAAGAAAGAGGCGGAGCGUGUGUCAGUGGCCCUGUGUAAGCUUGACAUCCCAUGUGGAGUUUAUCAUGUGGGUCUGAGCAUCUAACGGAGGAGAGAAACCCAGCAUCAGUUCAUGAGGGAUGAGAUUCAGGUGAAUGCCAUUAAAAGUCUAAUUAUAAUAAUGUCUCACAUGAAACAGACAUUUAGUUUUAAUGAUCAUUUUCCUCCCUCAGUGUCAAACUGUUCAUUGAAUGUUUUUUUUUUUUAAAAACAUCACACCACCUGAAUAGCAGUAUUGACAUCAGGCAUUUGCAAACAGCAUUUGUUUUUUUACUGUCUAGUAGUCUUAUGUCAAAAUGUCUAUGAUUGUGACAUAGUAUGAACUGAUGAUGAUUAGCUGAUUUUAUAGUUUCCUUUUAACUGGUCUGGCUGUAUAUUUACAGUAACUAACACUGUUGGUACUUCAUGUUUUUUUUUUUUUUUCUCGGCAGUUGUGUGGUGGCCACCGUGGUGUUUGGGAUGGGUAUUAAUAAAUCUGAUAUCAGGAAGGUCA